UUCGCGCGUUGUUAGCAUAAAACUUCACCGCAGAUAUCGAACAUAAUCGCUCACGCGAUCCUGUUAGAAACUCUUUUACUGUAGGGUGUCGUUUAUUCGUCGGUGGUUGCAUCGAAAGGUCCUGAUGAGCAUCAAAGGAUAUUUCACCCUGGAAUUUAUCGAAGAAAAUCGCUCGAUUGUUACCAGAGCAAUCCCGAAAAUGUGACAUUAAGUAUUGGAUGGUUUCUUUGUGCUCCUGAUCAUUGCGGGAAACACUAAGACAAAUAUUUUAUAGCUGACAUAGAAUUUAAGUCAGCUAAUGCAUUUGACAAGAGUCCACACUUUGAAGCCUUCCCCAAUGGAACCUUGGUUAUCAAGGAAGUGUUACCGACGUUUGAUAACAAAAAAUUCAUUUGUCGAAUAAAGAGGGUUAGAGGGAGUGUAGAAAACAAAGCAUUCUAUUACCAACUCGAAAUUGACUGAGGUCUUAGGAAAGUUCCUGUGCGAAUUCACCAAAGAGUGUCUCUACAAACUCCAUUCAACUGGAAAAUGUGACUGAGAUUGGUUGGUUUUCCUGCCCAACUAUAGCUAAGAGCUGCCAUCCGCAUCUGAACAAUUUUGGCUGACAUAAUGUUUAUGAUAAACAUUUUAUCCAUUGAGCUAACCGCCUCCUAAAGGUGUCUGUUGAUGAUCCGAACUUUGAUGCCUACCCCAAUGGGACUUUGGUCAUCAAAAGCGUCCUCCUCAUCUAUGAUGGAAGAAACUUCAUCAUGCGAGCACAUCUAAAAAAUAUGACAAGCAAGGCCUACACUUACCAUCUUUAAAUUAACAAAGAUCCUCCAUGUUCAACACUGAAAACUUCAACAGGCACUUAACAAUCCCAUGGCAACAUUAGCGUGGUAGCUACCAUGGACAUUGAUGACCCUGUGUCUACCAAAGACACCGAUGACCAAUCAGUAAACCAUUACAGUAACCCAGUGGCUGCCACAGACAAGGAUGACACAGUAACUACGAAAGACACCGAUGAUUCACUAGUUACCCAUGACAAUAGUAGUCCUAUGGCUACCACAGACAGUAUAAGUGAGUCAAAAGGCACCGAUAACCUACCAGUACCAAUGGGAACCCUGAUACCCUGAUGUGGUACAACAAGUUCUGGAAUUCAAUUAGCAAAUACUUGUCUAGUAUCAAAUAAAUUGAUGAUAUUGCGAGUGUUGAUAACAUCAGUGAUAACAGCCCUUGAUGAGCUAGAUGAUGUUGGUAAUAUUAUAAAGUCAACAUUAUUAUCAAUAAAGCUCAAGCAUUAUACAAAUGCCAAGACCAUCAAGUCACAAACAUCUGUGAUAAAGAAUGGAAUUUUUGACUUUUAUGGUAAUGAAUUAGAUUAUUUUAUCAGCCUUUUGUACCCCUUUUUAGCAAUUACAAUUACUUCAUCCUGCAACCUGAGCACCGUCAAUGAUUAAGACUCACAAAUUACAUGACAUUGCACUUAGAUGUAACAAUAAGAACAGUACCGUUGUCAAUUCACUUGAUGAAUGGCUUCAUCCAAUGACGAAUCAUUGUCAAAGUAAAUUUCAAAACAAACCCCAGUUAGUAUUCGGAGUCAAACAAAUGUAACAUUAAACUGCGAUGGUACCUAGACUGUAUUAAGCCAGUGUCCCGGACUUAGAACUAGUAUACCGCGUUCAUUUUCCUGUUUCAAGAAUUUUUUUAUAUUUUCUGUUCAUUGAACUGAGUAGAAGAACUCAUCUCAGCCCUAAAGAUCUACCAAGUAUAAAAACCUUGCGUAGAAAGCUACUUAAUCUACACAAUGCAACAUUAUGGGGUGGUAUUCAUUGCAUCUGUUUAUUCAACUAUGCCAGUACCUGGCUCAUCCACAAUGGACUUAAACAACAAAGAAAAUUUUAACCCUGAACUGUCUGUAUUUACUAGUCAGCCAAAGGGAUUUUUAGAGAGCUAUGUUCUUUACAUCGAAUAUAGCAAAGCAAAAACAGAACAAAACAAAAAGAGGCUUUAGUCAGAUUAUUUAGCAGUAAUAGUAGUUAUAAUAUCUUGUUUUACGUCAAGAUUAUCAAAGUAGUAAAACUGUUGCUUAAUAAACCUCUUUCAUUGUAAAAGCAAAGAUCUUUGUGCCUUACACCUGGUCAGUGUGAGGCACAAAUGAAAGUGUUUAUAGUAACGUUUUUUUACAGUGAAAUGUUCACGUGAGCAGGCAUUACUCCAUUGUUGAUAAAGCUCAAUGCCUUGCGACGGUUUUGAAAAUGGUAUGAAUAUUUUUUUUCAGUUUCUACCAUUUCUUAAAAUGAUUUUGGUAGCUUCUCGGGAGACCUCGAAUCGCUCGAACAUUUCCCCCAGCAGCAAUGCUUUGUGCAGACCAUUUUUAACCAGGAUUACUUCGAUUAUUUGUCUCAUCUGGUCUCCUGUCCUUCACUUGCGACUAAAUACAGGAAUGGCUACGACCUCAUUCGA